rnacentral:lncRNA from 1 species
AUCUGCUGUAGAAGCUCGAACGAAAACUGUCUGUUGGAGAAGUCCGACAGCAGUUCGAUUGCUGGAGAAGUCCGUCUGAAAUUUGUAUGAUGUAGAAGCUUGUCUGAGGGCUAUCCACUGGAGAGGUCCGGUUGCAUGAGGAAUCCGACAGAAGGUCGACUUGAUAGCAAAAUUUGGAAGGCGUUGGUGCUGUUGAAAGUGGAUGGCUC